rnacentral:lncRNA from 1 species
AAAAUUAUUAUAUUAAGUAUUGUGCAAUAGCAAGAAAUUUUCAAUUGCACAGUAUUCAGCAAUAGCAAAAAAUCUUCAAUUGCACAGUAUUGUGCAAUAGCAAGAAAUUUUCAAUUGCACAGUAUUGCGCAAUAGCAAGAAAUCUUCAAUUGCACAGUAUUGUGCAAUAGCAAAUAUUUUCAAUUGCACAGUAUUGCGCAAUAGCAAGAAAUAUCUAAUUGCACAAUAUUGUGC